UACGGAGGGAGCUAGCGUUGUUCGGAAUUACUGGGCGUAAAGCGCACGUAGGCGGCUUUGUAAGUUAGAGGUGAAAGCCUGGGGCUCAACCCCAGAAUUGCCUUUAAGACUGCAUCGCUUGAAUCCGGGAGAGGUGAGUGGAAUUCCGAGUGUAGAGGUGAAAUCGUUAGAUAUUCGGAAGAACACCAGUGGCGAAGGCGGCUCACUGGACCGGUAUUGACGCUGAGGUGCGAAAGCGUGGGGAGCAAACAGG
rnacentral:rRNA from 1 species